rnacentral:rRNA from 1 species
UACGAGGGGGGCGAGCGUUGUUCGGAAUUAUUGGGCGUAAAGGGUGCGUAGGCGGUUUGGUAAGUCUUAUGUGAAAUCUACAGGCUCAACUUGUAGUCUGCAUGAGAAACUGCCGGGCUUGAGUAUGGGAGAGGUGAGUGGAAUUCCUGGUGUAGCGGUGAAAAUGCGUAGAUAUCAGGAGGAACACCUGUGGCGAAAAGCGGCUCACUGGACCAUAAACUGACGCUGAUGCACGAAAAGCUAGGGGGAGCAAAACAGG